rnacentral:lncRNA from 1 species
AUGAAUUUCAAAUUUUAUCCUGUAAGGGAAAAGGAAUGCCUUAAAGUCUCAGUAUGGAUUCAGAAGGCACUGGCCAGUCAUUGUCUCACCUGGUGUGGAUCUGUGGGAGUUUUGGUAUGGGCAAUCUUCCUCAGAGCAGCUCUGGUGACACCAGGCUUCAACACUGACCACUCCCACCUUAGGAGUGUUCCCAUCAGGCUGUUCCUGCCUCUGCCUGACGCAUCAGCUACUCUGGUGUUUCCCAAUUAUGACUAGAACUUGUCUAUUGAAUCUUGAUGGCAUCUUUCAGAUUUCUCUAAAUUAGCUCCUGAAAGAAGCUGCUCCUGCAACAAAACAAUGGCAAAGUGAUUUUGGAGUAAUUUUCAGAUUGUGGUUUAUAACUGCAUUGCACCUCAGAAAUAGCUUGUCCCAGUGGGCAUGGCUUUUUCUGCUAUCCCUAUCUCUCAUAUAUCAAAUUAUGGAUUGUUAUACAAAAGUUGUAUCUCUGUCUUAUUUAUUGAAGUGUUGGUUCACUAAAUAAAGGAUCUCAACAGUGAUUUGAGCUGGCUGAA